rnacentral:rRNA from 1 species
UACGUAGGCAGCGAGCGUUGUUCGGAAUUACUGGGCGUAAAGAGUGUGUAGGCGGUGCUCUAAGUUCGGUGUGAAAUCUCCCGGCUUAACUGGGAGGGUGCGCCGGAAACUGGAGUGCUCGAACGUGGGAGAGGAAAGCGGAAUUCCCAGUGUAGCGGUGAAAUGCGUAGAUAUUGGGAGGAACACCAGUGGCGAAGGCGGCUCACUGGACCGGAACUGACGCUGAGGCGCGAAAGCGUGGGGAGCAAACGGGG